ACCAGGGCCAGGUGAGAAUCCUGGCCACAGGAGCUCUCAUUUUAUCCACAGAAAUACACAGGUUUAGGACAGCCUCUCCAACUGGUAAAAAUAUUUUAAAAUUGAAUUAACCUUAUGUAUGGCAGGGAGGCUGAGCAGAAGAGAACCAAAGAGCUGCAGCUGAGCUCGCAGGAAUCAGGCAACGCUAAGCACAGCUGGAACUUCCAGCCAUGCCACCAUACCCGCUGACCCCGUGUGGAGAGAGGGAUCAACCCGUCUGGCACGGAAUAAUACAAAGGUGCCUGGAGGAGCAGAUUCCUCAUGACAGAGCAGAGGGAGAGGCCCCGUCGAUGCAGAGGUCCACAGGAGGGCCUGGUGGACAAGCAUCCUGGGGGCAGAGCCGAGGAAGAG